CAGAGGCACGCUUCCAGGAUGGCGUCAUGCACAAACACGUACUGUUCCUGCACAGCCAAGCGGAGGGAACAGGGAACUAGCAAAUGCACUGAUGGGUGGAAACAAUGGAAGAAGAGCAGAGAGAUAACUGAGAGGAAAUGAGUGAAAGAGUCACAACAGGAGACCUCUGAGCUAUCCCAAAGGCAGAAGGAUGCUACAGGCCAGUGACUGACAGAAAUGAAGCAAAGGCAGCCCACGGUCACAUGAAGGAGGUAGGUACAGGCAAACUCUGGAGAAGACCAUGUUAAAUAUCCUUGCUCUACCAUUGCACACCUGUGUCACAUCUUGGUUUCCUUGUCUGUAAAAUGGGAAUGAUAAUAAUAACCACUUCUCAAGGCUGGAUGAGAAGUAACUGAAAUAUGUGGGCAGGCGCAUAUGGCAGACACAGCAGAUGCUGCUAGCGCCCUGGCUGCAUUUCCUGGCUGCAAUAUUAACACCAUUGAUACUGCUUCUACUACAGCAACUUGUUGUCAGAUGUGGGGAUCUGGUUCUCAUCAGAAAUGACUGAGCACUGGAAUACAAGGGGGUAUCAAGGCCACUGGACAAGAGAACGUCACCCCUACCAAGAGAGCAAAACUGUACAGGCACACUUGGUUGGUGCGUGGCUUUGACUCACCUGCAGUGGACCACUAUGGGCCCAGCUUCUGGGGGAUUGAGGAACUUGACCUGGCGGACGAAGCCCAGAAGGCCAGU